rnacentral:antisense_RNA from 1 species
CUUGACCGAUCCCAGCCACAGCGGCCCGGAGGAAUGGGGCCCAGUCCGGUCCUGGCCGUAGGUCGCCAGCAAUGCCUGCGCCUC